UACGUAGGGUACUAGCGUUGUCCGGAUUUAUUGGGCGUAAAGGGCUUGUAGGUGGUUUGUCGCGUCAGUCGUGAAAUCCUGUGGCUCAACCAUGGGAUUGCGUUGGGUACUGGCAGGCUUGAGUGCAGUAGAGGUGGAUGGAAUUCCUGGUGUAGCGGUGGAAUGCGCAGAUAUCAGGAGGAACACCGGUGGCGAAGGCGGGUCUCUGGGCUGUUACUGACACUGAGGAGCGAAAGCGUGGGGAGCGAACAGG
rnacentral:rRNA from 1 species